UAAUUAUGUAUAAUUGUGUAUACUUGUGUAUAAUCAUGUAUAAUUCUGUAUAACUAUGAGAAUACCCACAAAUAUAUAUGGUUAUACAUGAUUAUACAAAGUAUAUAUAUAUAUAUAUAUAUGUAUUACAAAUAUUAAGUAUUAAUUAAGAGGUUUAGUGAUAAAAUCUAAUUGAAAAUCAGUAUUUCUAUAAGUUCCCACUAUUUUAGUAUGAUCCCACCAUUUUAAGGGAAAUAUUGCAUGCAUAAAUGGAACACUUAAAAUAAUUGGACAGGAAAUAUCUUCUACAAUCAUAAAACUUUGUGGCAAACAAAUUCCAUUGUUACACAGGAAAUACUUGGCUCUGAUACCAAGUAUUGAGCAAGACCUUUUUAGGGCUGUAGGGCCUUUUACAAAGCUGAGAUUUAUUCAGUUUAAUCUAUUUUAUGCAAAUCGCGAAUUAAUCGUUAUAAACCCGACCGGGAACAUCCCUAGGCGAUACAACCUGCCAUAUAGGACUUACCAACGGAAUUACAAGGUUUAUACCCAAUUUAAUUCAUCACUAACCAUGUCGGGAAAACCUCUUUUAGGGCUUACCAACGCCAUGAUUUAAGCUUAGUUUGCUAUAAAAUCUUAAACUAAACCCAUGCUAACACCUUAACCCCUUCAAGGCAAGCUCUUAUUUUAGAGUCAUUUUGCUAUAAAAUCAUAAACUAAGCCCAUGCUAAAACCUUAACCCCUUCAAGGCAAGCUCUUAUUUUAGAGUCAUCGCCUUUUAAGAACAUCCUCAAGCUAUAUUAGUUAUUAUCCAACACUUAAGAACUUAGCCCAUCAUUGGGCUUACCGUAAUAAUAAAAUUUAAAUAUGAAUAAAAUUUAAAAGAAAUAAAGAAAUAAAUACCUGGCCACCAGGGAAAUAUGUAGAAAUCUUUUACUUGAUUUUUAUAAUAAGAAACUUAUAUUACAAGAGAAAAGAGAGAUGGGAGAUCUUAAGGAGAGAGAGAUGUUUGGAGAAGAGAGAUG
rnacentral:lncRNA from 1 species